rnacentral:misc_RNA from 1 species
UUCAGCUCUAGCAAUCUGGCAGAAAACUAGAAUGGAAAGAAUAGCAAAGUAUCAACAGGGCUUCCUCAUAGCGAAACACGGAAACGUCCUGCGUGAGGUUUCCCCGUUUUGGAAACGUUUUCGACACGAAAAUGGCGGGACACGGCGAGGAAACGUGUCGAGGCCGUUUCCGGAAUUUGUGAAAGUUGGACACUUGUGUCGCGGACAGGAAACGCGUUUCUAAGCUUAAAAACGCCGGACCAGCCGCGUCGCAGACAACGGCGUUUUAGAAGAAGAAGAAGAAGAAGGA